GACGAACGCUGGCGGCGUGCUUAACACAUGCAAGUCGAACGGAAAGGCCCCUUUGGGGGUACUCGAGUGGCGAACGGGUGAGUAACACGUGAGUAACCUGCCCUUGACUUCGGGAUAACUUCAGGAAACUGGGGCCAAUACCGGAUAGGAAUCCUUGCUGCAUGGUGGGGGUUGGAAAGUUUCGGCGGUUUUGGAUGGACUCGCGGCUUAUCAGCUUGUUGGUGGGGUAGUGGCUUACCAAGGCUGUGACGGGUAGCCGGCCUGAGAGGGCGACCGGCCACAUUGGGACUUACGUGCGGCCCCGACACCUACGGGUGGCAGCAGUGCGGAAUAUUGAACGAUGGGCGGAAGCCUGAUGCAGCAGCGCCGCGUGCGGGAUGACGGCCUUCGGGUUGUAAACCGCUUUCAGCAGGGGCGAAGCUUGUGGUGACGGUACCUGCAGAGGAAGCACCGGCUAACUACGUG
rnacentral:rRNA from 1 species